UACGUAGGGGGCAAGCGUUGUCCGGAUUUAUUGGGCGUAAAGAGCUCGUAGGCGGUUCGAUAAGUCGGACGUGAAAUCUCCACGCUCAACGUGGAGGGGCCGUUCGAUACUGUCGUGACUCGAGUCCGGUAGGGGAGUGUGGAAUUCCCGGUGUAGCGGUGAAAUGGCGUAGAUAUCGGGAGGAACACCUGUGGCGAAAGCGGCGCACUGGACCACAACUGACGCUGAGGAGCGAAAGCGUGGGGAGCGAACAGG
rnacentral:rRNA from 1 species